UUCUAAUAUAGCAAAAAAGUGCAUUGGAUUUAAGCUCCAAAUAUAAAAGAUAAGCUUUUUUUUAGAA
rnacentral:tRNA from 1 species